rnacentral:lncRNA from 1 species
AAAAUAGGCCAACACAGUUAUAAAUUGCUGCGCCUAGAAACAAGAAAAGAAAAAACAGAUACAAAAAAUAACAUGCUCCCUGCUAAAAACCAACUCUUCCUCAUCUCAACAAGCAUAGAGUUGGAGCUUGAUUCCAUUCAUAAAACAGACAGGAGAGAGUUUGAGACCUUGCAAUCCACCAUUUCCAAGAGCUAAUUUUUACUUCCUCCACUAGUCCUAUAACACCAGUAAUUCCAUUCUCAAACACAAUCUUGUUUCUUAUUCUAUCCUAUCAUUAUCCUAUUGAAUAUCAUAUCCUGUCACUAUCCUAUUCUGCGCACCAAACGGGGUAUUGUCUAACAUAUACAAAUUACAUAUAAGAAUUUCCACCGUAAUUAAGUGCUUAGAUAUAGAUUAGAUAUUAAUGCAUAAACAAAGAAUUUGUAGUUGUUGUUUUCGGAUUUAAAAAACCGUUAAAAAAUAAUUUUUACAGCCACCGAAGAGAUUACUGGGUUGAGUCGCGGACUAGGUCGCUCACUUUAAGACGUUUCGUGGCACUGCCCAAAAUUGUGCAAGCAGACUAUCAACCACGUCGUCCCCAGGAUAAAACAACUCAGUUUCAACUGUAUACCGAUAUGCUACUGCACGAUAGAAAUCGGUCAAAGAAUACACCUUCUUGAAUGAUACUACAAUACUACUCGAAUUGAUGCUGCGACAUCAUUCUAUGUUUCAUCGGUGAUUCAGUGAUACUACAAUAUCACUUAGAUUGAUGCUACAACCUCAAUCUAUGAAUCAACGGUACUACGAUACCACAUGUGGUACUACAAUACCACAUGUAUUGAUGAUACUACAAUAUCAAUCAAUAUAAUGACACUGAGGCCAUUCCAAUAUGGUACUAAGACCAUUCUCAAAUCAAAGGGAUAAUGGUAAUAAAACCAUUCUUUAUUUGAAGUAACUAGUGAUACUUUGAUCACUCUUAAAAUAAAUUAAUACUAAUAUAACUAUUAGUAUCCUUAAGGAACUUAUGCUGAUAUAAAUCAACAAACACCACUGGUUUGAUAAAAGAUUAAUAACAAUUGGUCAUAAAAUGAAUAAGAAAUAUCCAAUUAGUUAUUAUGGACUCAAUGUACUUAAGCAUGAUUUCAACUAAAAAAUAGAGAAAAGUUUUGCUAAAAUCAUAAGUCUCGCAAAAUAAUAGAACAAACUUGAAUGUAGACAUCAAGAUUAAAUUCAACAUUAGAAAAUGUUCAUAUUCAGCAUUAAGUUAUAAAAUGUAAAUUCAUAGUAUAAUACUCCCAAAAAUUAGACCCGACAAUCAUACUAGAGUUCGGUCCCUAAUAGUGAUCAUCCAUUGUUUGUUUAAAAAACAAAAUAAAACUAGCAUACCUUGAAGUCUGUCAUCACCGCUUGCAACUAGCUUCAACUCUUUGGAUGAACAUAGCUCCAAAACCAAUUAAACAAAAUAUUGAAAUGUUUAUCACAUAAUCGUGUAGUCACUUGACCAUGUAUCUACAACUUGAUUGUACAAAUUAUAAUUGCUCCAACCUAUGUUCAACCAUCGACUAAGGAUAAAUGGCUUUCAUAAUUUUUUAACCUUGAAAUAUGAUAUGCAUCAUUUUGUUUUUUAGAAGCUUGCCGUAUCUCACUUAAGGGCUGAGAUGUAUAUGCAUAUAUGCAUCUAUUUUCUUAGUGAAGCAAUCAAUUAGAAUUAUUCUCCCAUAAAUUAACAGUUACAAAAUGAUGGAAAAUAAAUCACAAUAAAUUAAAUAAAUAAAUAGUAUGUCCAAUAUCAUCAAAAUGUAGGACUUAAUUUAUUUAUUUUCACAAAAUUACACACUAGUAUGCUACAACACACUAGUAUGUUCUAAUACCCGAUAUGAGACUCAAUUUUAUUUUCAAUUCACACACCAAUGUGAACUUUGUUCCAACCGUAGUAAAUAACAAUGACAUGUUGCUACUUAUAAAAUGAGUAAUUCACUAAUUCUUUCCGGCCUCCUUAAUAAGCAGCAAUCAUCCCACCUAGCUAGCAAGCACAUGGUGCUUUAGAUUUGGAAAAUGGACUGUCUCGUGACAGCCUACCCACCAUGUGCUCCACAAACAAAUGGACAGUGUCACUCAAUUUUGUAUUUGAAAAUUUGCCAAAAAACUACAUGUCUUUUGUUAUCAAUACAGUAUGUAGUAUUGUUCAUCCACUUCUCAGUCACCACGACCUAAAUAAACACAAAGAGCAUGCAUUAAUUUCCAAGAAGAGACAUGGAGAUUAUUUUUUAAAGAGAACAAAAUUCUCGGUUCCAAAUCGGUUACAAGAUAAGAAUUGAAAUUUGAAUAAACAAAGCUACAAGAAUGAAUAAUUUGUAUAUAUAUGUGUAUAUAUAUACCUGUGGAUAUUUAUCUGCGAGAAAAAUAUUUAAAUGGUCA